ACACUUUAUUGGGGCAGUGUGUUUGACGUAUCACUUGACUGUGUUCCCUUUAAAAUUUAAUUAUAAUGCUGUAGCAUGGCGGGGCAGGAAAAAACAUGGAUGAGUUACCUUGUUAUCAAAAGUAAUUAAGUAUACACUACAGUUUAUUGCAUUUUUAUAAAUAGAAAUAGUGUCCCUUUAAUGGUGAUGCAGAACACCUUAAGCAGGAUCCUGAUACAUAAUGUCACAUAUCUACUGUUGCCAAGAGUAUUAGGGUUCCUGCAAGGAUUAGCUUUUUCAUGUAAUAUCAGUGUAUUUCUGGAAGCCUUGACAUCAGCCGAAAAUAAAAUAAUAUCCUUUGAGACAAAUUUUUAUUUUUAAAAUGUGCAGCAUUUUCGCUUGCCAGUAUGUUUGUGUUCCUUCCUAACUGCAAACAAAUAUAAUCGAUUUGUUAAAAAAAAAAUACAGAUAAAUAAUAAACCGUAUAAAGCAUUUUCAUAGUCACAUUACACAGGUGUGAAUAUUUUACCUCUUACUCCUUGAACCAAGUUCCCAUUUAUUUCCUGGUUUGGCAUCACUUGAAAUGAUAUGUAUUACAAGUUAUUUAUGGGCUCUGGAGAAUUAUAAGGUUAUACAGAACAGAAGACUUGAAUGACCUUAUAAACAGACUAGGACAUUUGUAACCUAUUGAAAAACUGUUUUGGUAGUAUGUUAUUGCUCCUAAUAUUAUGUUCAAACUACAGAAUACAUUAAUGAUUAAUCUACCUUUUGAUACUAAUUGUUUUCAGGCAAGUCACAAUUUUUAGCAGAAUAAAUGAAGAAAACUAACAAUGUUUUUAUACAGUAAGGGUUAUUGUCAUUCAUUUCUGUUGUUAUUAUUAUACCUAUAAAUAGUAGGCAUUCAUUUAAUAUGAAGUAGUAAAGGUCAUACUGUAGCUAAUUGGUUCCCAGUUGAAUUAUUCUUUUGCAUCGUAUUUUGUAUGAUUUCCGUCAUACACCAAGUCUUAUAAUCUAAAAUGGUCUAAAGUUUCAUCCAUAACACAGAUAGCAAGUGUGAACCUUCUGUUGAAAAUGGAAGUGUAUGGACUUUAGAGCAAAGUAAUGGUGAGAAAAAAUGUUGAGCUGCAGCAAUAGGAUGCAAAAGCUAGCUGAAUCUAUAUAGAAGUCACCAACAAUUAUGGGGGUCAUGUGAGUACAGUCAAUCACAAAUCUAGACAGAAAAAAUAAAAUUACAAAAAAAAUUGUUAUGUUUGCACACAGCACUGGACAUAGAUCAGUUCUAAAAUUCUAUAAUGCUAUAACUGUUCUUCAGUCUGAUAUCAUAGGUGGCCAGUAUGAGUAUGUUUCUUUUUUAUAUUUCCUGCAAUAACUGUAAUAUUUACAGUUUCAUUAACUGUGUGGGUUUAUAGAAUAUUAAAGUACUUUAGCAAAGCCAGAGUAUAAAAGUUGGAAAGGAGGGAGAAGCUAGGGUUAGGGGAGGAAUAGGGAAACUCAGUUAUACUGCCUUUAGAUAAAAAUCUCCUACCAAAUCCAAACCAAAUUUAGAUAAUGGAGUAUUAUAAUAGAGAUCAGCUUCAGGGUGGAGCCCUAGAAUUACAGGUUACCUACAUGCGCCCCCUUGCCUUGGUUGAAUUUCAGCAAAAUGAGAUUCAUGAUGCCUUGGCCUCAAGUGCAUCAUCAUAAAUGCAACAUAUAAUACAUUGAAGAUACCUUGAGUGGUAGCUCAAUAAGGAUAAAAAUGCAUAAGUACAGAUUAAGAUAUUCACUGAAAAGCAGAUCAGCUGUAAAAUGAAUUAAGUGCUUGUUUAAUAAUGUACAUUUUUGUCUAGUAAGCAAAGAAGCCCUAGUUCACCUGCUGUGCGUGACAUUAGUAGAUAUCCUUCAUCUAGUCAUAAGCUACGGAGGAGGCAGAAACAACUUGUUCACAUCUCAACACAUCAAAGGGAUUCAGAAUCAGUAGUACAGAGUCCAUGUUUCAAGCAACAACCAUCUUUGCACUUGAAAGCAGUCAUAAAGAACAUCAGUUAAAGGAAUCACUUAAUGCAUAUGCUUUCUGAAACCAUUUAUCCCUCUCAUGCAUUGGGACCAAUUCCACUUUGCAGAGUCUCUUUGUACUGGAGGCUGAAGAGAUUCGGCAUGAGCCCCUGCAUGAUUCCCUGCAUGGAGAAAGUGGAGAGGAUCAUCAAAGACUCCAGUCACCCUAGCCACAGACUGUUCAAACUACUUCUGUCAGGCAGGAGAUAUAGCAGCAGGCUGAGUAACAGCUUUUUCCAUCAGGCCAUCAGACUGCUGAACACUGACCACUAACACUUCAUAGACACUUCAGCAACACUACCACACUAUUCAAUGUGUACUCAUUCUUAUAUUUUGUACAUACAUUAUACAUGCCUACUCAUGUGCAUAUGUAUUCUAUAUUUUGUACU